UUUUUUUUUUUUUUUUUUUGUCUUUUACUAGGGCCAUUCCCAUGGCAUAUGGAGGUUCCCAGGCUAGGGGUCUAAUCAGAGCUGUAGCUGCCAGCCUACACCAGAGCCACAGCAAUGCGGGAUCCGAGCCGCAUCUGCGACCCACACCACAGCUCACGGCUACGCCAGAUCCUCGACCCACUAAGCAAGGCCAGGGAUCGAACCCGCAACCUCAUGGUUCCUAGUUGGAUUUGUUCACCACUGUGCCACGACAGGAACUCCUAAAAUAUUUCCUAUUUAUCCCACAGUAUUAGCCAGCAUUUCUUCACCUAUAAAGUAGGAGUUUUUUGUGUGUUUUAUUUGGUUUGGUUUUGGUUUUUUUUUAAUGGCCACCCCUGCCAGGGCCAGGGAUCAAAUUGAGUGGCAGCUGCAUGCCUAUGCUACAGCCACAGCAAUAGCAACACCAGAUAUGGGCUGCAUCUGUGACCUACACCACAGCUUUCGGCAACGUCAGAUCCUUGACCCACUGAACCAGGCCAGGGAUUGAAACUGCAUCCUCAUGGACACUAUGUCAGGUUCUUAACCCACUGAGCCACAAUAAGAACUACUAAAGUAGGGAUAUGAAUGUUUGCUUCCUGUGUUUGUUAUGUGGAUUCAUAAAAUAACGUAUAUAACGUACCCAUAAUGUAGGCAAUACUUAUGAGAGUUACACAGUAAAUAUUUCCCACUUUAGUUAAGGUUUCGGGUUAUUAAAGGAUGGGGCCAAGUGAUUCAAUGACUUCUCCUUGUCUAACGAAAAAAAAAAAAAUGGGACCAAAAUUGACUAUACAACCCUCACCUUCUUCCCAAUAAGUUCGGACAACCACGUGACUACAUACUUCUUCCUCAAAUAUGUUUCUCAUCAAAAGUGGAUGUGCCCAUCUUUCUUGAACUUGUGGUUGCAUCUUCUUUCAUUCUUUCCCCAAAUUGUGUGAAGAAAUACUAAAGAGUUGGACAGAUUUUUUUUCUUCUCCCAAUUUAUGUUGUUGCAGAUGGCCAAGAUGUUAGCCUGAGGUCUUUUUUCUGUUGUUUUGCUCUAUUGUUCCUUUUCACCUUUCGCCCACAGUCUAUGGUACAAGGUGAUCUUUCACUUACUGAGCUUCUCAAGUCUUAGGGGAAAUAAAUUAGUUUGGUAAGAAUUCUGAUGAUCGUUUAGCCAGCGUUCAUGUUAAAGUAUGUUCCAGGCCCUAAGAGUUAAGCAGGGCCACUGUGGAUGCCCACCUGCAGAGCCACCAUAAACAUAAAACAUUUUAUGUUUUAGGAUAAUGGGACUCAUGUGGACCACAGAUCCAGGAGCCCAGCUAUCUAAAAUCAGUAGCAAACCACUUUCUAAGCUGUACAGUAUCCCCUUUUUAUUACCUGCUGAAUCCUCAUCAUGACACAAAUUCAUCAACAUCAUGUAUUGGUCGAUUUACCAUCUGCUUCCUUUUUGAGACUAUAAGCCCCUUGAAAAUAGUGACCCUAUCAAUAUCGUCUAACACGUGAGUUCUUACUAUGUCCCAGUUAUUGUGCUUGGGAGAAUAAAUAGGUGGUGAGUGAAUAAACAAAGAUUAAAUGGAAUUAUAUAUUUACAAUAAUUUUAAACUCCCAAACACCAUGGAAUAGCAUAUUCUUUUUGGUCUUGCCUCAACUGCACAAACGCCUCAAACUUUACAUGCAGCCACAAGCCUUCCUCCCACUAUUCCCCAGCUAUGAUUUAUUGAAUAUGUAUGUAUGCUUAAUACAUUACAGACAUUACCUUAUUAAUCCUCAUACAGUGUCUAUGAAACAGUAUUAUUAUUUCCUCUCUCCCUUCCUUCUUACACUUAGAAAAACUCAGAGUCAUGGAACCUAAGAGAUUUUAAAAGGAGAUAUGGUGAGAAACAGAUCUGAAGGAAAUUAUAACUCAUGACAGGCUUUAUACAUAUUUUCUCCAUUGAGAACUCCGAUUCUGAUUUUACGUAGUAGAACAACAAUGAAUGGUAACUAUAUAUAUAUAUAUAUUUCUUUUAGGAUUUUUAAACCAUGUGAAAGGAAAGAUGAAAAGAAUACACUUGUAUACGUAGAGAACAUAGCAGGAGGAUACACAGAAAAUUAAUUAUGGCUCUGGGAUAGGAAUUAGGACUCUACUACGGAAGGGAUCUGCUUCUUAUUAGAUACCUUCUGUUACUUUUUGAGUUGGUUUCCUCACAUACAUGCAUUAAUUUUGUAAGAUGAAAUGAAAUGAAUAAAAUCAAAUAGAAAACAAAGGAUAAUCCAAGAACUAAACUGGAUCAGUGGCUGUGAAGGAGGAGAAAUGGUGACAGGUUUAAGACUUCCACUGGAACACAGUUCCUCCUGUGCUUUAAGAUGUGAACACUUAUAAGGCUUCAAAUGAAGAUUUUGUAUUUCAGUAUGACUGGGAAUACUACAAAUAAACAAAGGUGAAGCCCUCUCAAUAGCACCAUUUUUCCAGAUAAUUUAAAUCUCUGAAAGGUGUAUAUUUCAUUUUCUAAAGGAUCUUUUUUUCUUAACGUAGAACAUUUCACAGAUAUAAUGCUCUGGAUAAACCACUUUGGCAUAGGAUUAUCUAGAGCAGGUUUAAACAAACCACAGCUUGUGGACCAAACCCAGCUUGCUGCCUAUCUUCGUAAACAAAACUAUGUCAGAAUGCAGUCAUUACGUACCAGGCAUGGCUGCUCUGGGUCUGCAACAGCAGAGCUGAGAAGGUGUCACAGACAACUUAGGGUUUGCGAAGCCUAAAAAACAUACUAUCUGACCCUUUAUGGAGAAAUCUUGCCAACCUCUGACUCAGAGGAAGAAACUGCCAUAAUUUGCUGCUCAAGUAGAUGUUAUGAGUAACGUAAAAAGACUGAACAGACUUCAAAAAUUCAAAUACUUGCUGGGGCUCUAUAGGAAAUAUGCAUGAGUGAAACAGAGGAGAUAUAAAAUUAUAAAGAGUAGUAGAGACAAAUGGUAGAGGCAAAGAGGAGAGCAGACUCUUCUUAAAGUUGAAGUCACAGAAAUAUGGGCCAAAUGUUACCAAAUUUACUAAAUUUUCCUCAAAAAAUAAUGAACGUCUUUUGUACUGCUGUAAACUCUUCUAAUUAUUUAGUUUUUUUAAAAAUUUUGUGGCUAAAGAAAAUAUAACUGUAAAUGGAAUACAGCCAAUCAAUGGACAAUUUGCAAUCUCUAAAUAGAAUUCUGGGUUACUCGCUUGUUUAUUCAGGUGAUGUUACUGCUUUCAUUAAAUGCAAUUAUGUCUGUAAACUGUUCAGCAAAUUCCUGGGAUUUGCUGUUUAUUCUCCAAAUGUGUUGCUACCAAUACCACUUGUAAUAACAGUGCAAAGAAGUAUGAUUUGAGGAUGGUUUUCUGCUUUCCUCAGUGAGUAGAGCAUGGGGAAAGAUAAUUUGUUGAAUUUGUAAUAUACUGAUAUUCUCCAAUAAUGAGAUAAGCAAUGUUUUGCUAGCCAU
rnacentral:lncRNA from 1 species